GGCCCCUUGGUCAAGCGGUUAAGACACCACCCUUUCACGGUGGUAACGGGAGUUCGAUUCUCCCAGGGGUCA
rnacentral:tRNA from 1 species